rnacentral:rRNA from 1 species
GGUGAGUAACACGUGGGUUAUCUGCCCUGCACUUCGGGAUAAGCUUGGGAAACUGGGUCUAAUACCGGAUAGGACCGCACUUUAGUGUGUGUGGUGGAAAGUUUUUUCGGUGUAGGAUGAGCUCGCGGCCUAUCAGCUUGUUGGUGGGGUAAUGGCCUACCAAGGCGGCGACGGGUAGCCGGCCUGAGAGGGUGUACGGCCACAUUGGGACUGAGAUACGGCCCAG